rnacentral:misc_RNA from 1 species
GAUGAAGAACGUAGCGAAAUGCGAUAAGUAAUGUGAAUUGCAGAAUUCAGUGAAUCAUCGAAUCUUUGAACGCACAUUGCGCCCGCCAGUAUUCUGGCGGGCAUGCCUGUUCGAGCGUCAUUUCAACCAUCAAGCCCCGGGCUUGUGUUGGGGACCUGCGGCUGCCGCAGGCCCUGAAAAGCAGUGGCGGGCUCGCUGUCACACCGAGCGUAGUAGCAUACAUCUCGCUCUGGGCGUGCUGCGGGUUCCGGCCGUUAAACCACCUUUUAACCCAAGGUUGACCUCGGAUCAGGUAGGAAGACCCGCUGAACUUAAGCAUAUCAAAAAGCGGAGGA